UACGAAGGGUGCAAGCGUUACUCGGAAUUACUGGGCGUAAAGCGUGCGUAGGUGGUUCGUUAAGUCUGAUGUGAAAGCCCUGGGCUCAACCUGGGAACUGCAUUGGAUACUGGCGAUCUGGAGUGCGGUAGGGGGUGGCGGAAUUCCCGGUGUAGCAGUGAAAUGCGUAGAUAUCGGGAGGAACAUCCGUGGCGAAGGCGGCCACCUGGACCAGCACUGACACUGAGGCACGAAAGCGUGGGGAGCAAACAGG
rnacentral:rRNA from 1 species